UAAGCAGAUAGUGAAAUCAUGUGGCUCAACCAUUAUGACUAUUAUCUGAACUGGCAAGCUCGAGAAUGGUAGAGGUUAUUGGAAUUCCCUGUGUAGGAGUGAAAUCCGUAGAUAUAGGGAGGAACACCAAUGGCGUAGGCAGAUAACUGGACCAUUUCUGACGCUGAGACACGAAAGCGUGGGGAGCGAACCGGAUUAGAUACCCGGGUAGUCCACGCCGUAAACGAUGGAUGCUA
rnacentral:rRNA from 1 species